UUUAUAUCAUGGAAUAAGACUGCCCUUUUCUUUUCAGACGAAAUGAUAUUCCCCGCUUUUGCCGAAAUUAUAGUGUUUGUAUGCAUGAUUUGCCCGUGAAUUUCGUUUGACUUCAAAUUUCUGCGGACCCAUCCCGCUGUGCGAUUUAUUUAAUUUUUUGUGUAGGGCAGUUUUUAUUUUUCAAUGGAAAUAUCAAAUUCUGCUUGUUUUAUAAAUUAUAUCUGAAACUGGUUAAUUUGAUACACAUUUUGUAAAGAAAUGCUGUAUAGACGACUUCCGGCAGCUCCUAACUUUAUAUACAGAAAAUUUUAACACUUC
rnacentral:lncRNA from 1 species